rnacentral:rRNA from 1 species
AUUGAACGCUGGCGGAAUGCUUUACACAUGCAAGUCGAACGGCAGCACGGACUUCGGUCUGGUGGCGAGUGGCGAACGGGUGAGUAAUGUAUCGGAACGUGCCCAGUCGUGGGGGAUAACGUAGUGAAAAUUACGCUAAUACCGCAUACGAUCUAUGGAUGAAAGCGGGGGAUCGCAAGACCUCGCGCGAUUGGAGCGGCCGAUAUCAGAUUAGGGAGUUGGUGGGGUAAAGGCCCACCAAGCCAACGAUCUGUAGCUGGUCUGAGAGGACGACCAGCCACACUGGAACUGAGACACGGUCCAGACUCCUACGGGAGGCAGCAGUGGGGAAAUUUGGACAAUGGGCGAAAGCCUGAUCCAGCCAUUCCGCGUGCAGGAUGAAGGCCCACGGGUUGUAAACUGCUUUUGUACAGAACGAAAAGGUUUCUACUAAUACUAGGAGCUCAUGACGGUACUGUAAGAAUAAGCACCGGCUAACUACGUGCCAGCCGCCGCCGUAA